GGGGGCUGAUAGUUCCUUGACCCACCUGGUAUCCAAGGCUCGAGAUGGCACUGGUUUUGGCAGAGCAGUGCUCCAAGCUGCACGGCUGUGAACUCUGAGCCCAUCUCCAGAGACACUGCUUGAGAGUCACCUAGAAUGGAAUCGACAAGAGCAAGCACUCGAAGAAGAAAAAACAGUUACCUACCUUUCAUAACUGUUGUUCUUCAAGACGUGUUGCUCACAUCCAUUCCAUUAUCCGCCCUCCUGCCCGUCUGUCAGAGUUACCGGAAAGAAGGAACUGAGAGGCCAGUGGCGCCUGAUAUACCGAUGCAUGAGCACAGCACUCAAGCGGCGCCACUGCCGACCCUAUGGAUACUGUAAGGCAAAAUCUCUGAUGACCACGCACAUGGGAACACGCACACCUAGAAUGGAAUGAACAUGAGCAACACAUCUUAAGAACAACAGUUAUGAAAAGACCAUGUGACUCAGUAACAGGAAUUGCUGCUGAAAAGUACUUGGAGAUGAUAUAAAAGGAAUGAAAUAAACUGGUCAACUUACUUCAAAAUGAUGCUGACAAUGUUUUGGAUGAGUUACUCUGCCAGUCAGUCAUCACA